rnacentral:lncRNA from 1 species
UUGCCCCCAGUCCCUCCCAGUCCCUCCCAGUUGCCCCCAGUCUCUCCCAGUCCCUCCCAGUCCCUCCCAGUUGCCCCCAGUUGCCCCCAGUCCCCCCGGGUCACUGCAGUUCACAGCGCUCCCAGUUUGCCCUCACGCUGUUACUGGGCGGACUGGGACGGGCGGUGCUGACUCAGCCCUCCCACAGCCGCUAAUUACCCUUAAUUACGCGAUUCUAAUUAAGCCGGGGCCGCCCCACCCUGAGGCAGACAGGGGGUUAAUUGGGGGAGGGGUCAAUUAAGGGGGAGAGAGGUGAUUAAUUGGUAGGAGGGGGGGCUGGGGUUAAUUGGGGGGCAGAGAUUAAUUAAGAGGCACAAAGAUUAAUUAAAGGUGAGAGAUAUAAUUAAUUGGGGGGCUGAGGUUAACUGGGGGCUGAGAUUAAUUAAGGAAGAGAGAGGUAAUCAGCUGGGGGGCUAAGACUAAUUGGGGGAACAGGGAUUAAUUAACAGGCAGAGAUGAUUUAUUUCACGUAAGACAUUAAUUAAAGGGGAGAGAGGUGAUUAAUUUGGGGGGGCUGAGCUUAAUUGGGGGUGGGAGAUUAAUUAGAGGGGAAUGGAAUUAAUUCUACCCCAUAGAUUCAACCUUUCCUGUCCACCCACUUCGUUUGCAUAACCCCGCCCCCUUCCGGGAUAAUUUGCAUGGCCACACCUUCUCACCGUAAAGCUUUAUUCAAUUGGCUGCUCCGCGCUGCUCAUUUACAUAGCCACGCCCCCCCGAGGCUCCGCCCACCCUCCAUCUGCCCCCUUCAAUUGCCCCCAUUGACUCCUAAUUGCCCCCAUUGCCCCUACUGACCCCUAAUUGCCCCUCACUACCCCUCAGUUGCCCCCAUUGACUCC